UCAUCAACCCUGUGACAUACCUAAAACGUUGCCUCGGCGGGAACAGACGGCCCCGUAACACGGGCCGCCCCCGCCAGAGGACCCCCUAACUCUGUUUCUAUAAUGUUUCUUCUGAGUAAACAAGCAAAUAAAUUAAAACUUUCAACAACGGAUCUCUUGGCUCUGGCAUCGAUGAAGAACGCAGCGAAAUGCGAUAAGUAAUGUGAAUUGCAGAAUUCAGUGAAUCAUCGAAUCUUUGAACGCACAUUGCGCCCGCCAGUAUUCUGGCGGGCAUGCCUGUUCGAGCGUCAUUACAACCCUCAGGCCCCCGGGCCUGGCGUUGGGGAUCGGCGGAAGCCCCCUGCGGGCACAACGCCGUCCCCCAAAUACAGUGGCGGUCCCGCCGCAGCUUCCAUUGCGUAGUAGCUAACACCUCGCAACUGGAGAGCGGCGCGGCCACGCCGUAAAACACCCAACUUCUGAAUGU
rnacentral:rRNA from 1 species